rnacentral:misc_RNA from 1 species
GAUGAAGAACGUAGCGAAAUGCGAUAAUUAAUGUGAAUUGCAGAAUUCAGUGAAUCAUCGAGUCUUUGAACGCACAUUGCGCCCCCUGGUAUUCCGGGGGCAUGCCUGUCCGAGCGUCAUUGCUGCCCUCAAGCACGGCUUGUGUGUUGGGCUUCCGUCCCUGGCAACGGGGACGGGCCCAAAAGGCAGUGGCGGCACCAUGUCUGGUCCUCGAGCGUAUGGGGCUUUGUCACCCGCUCCCGUAGGUCCAGCUGGCAGCUAGCCUCGCAACCAAUCUUUUUAACCAGGUUGACCUCGGAUCAGGUAGGGAUACCCGCUGAACUUAAGCAUAUCAAUAAGCGGAGGA